GCCUUACUUUUUUGCUAUUUUUUACUGCUUUAUGAAAAAUGAGAAAAGUGGCUGAAAAUGGACGAAAAGUUAAGGCUAUAGGCUUACUUUUUUGCUAUUUUUGCUGCUUUAUGAAAAAUGCAAAAAGUCGCUAAAAAUGGACGAAAAGUAAAGGGUAUUAUAGCCUUACUUUUUUGUUGUUUUUUGGUCAUUGAUGAAAAAUGGAAAAAGUGGCUGAAAAUGGACGAAAAGUUAAGGCUAUAGCCUUACUUUUUUGCUAUUUUUUACUGCUUUAUGAAAAAUGAGAAAAGUGGCUGAAAAUGGACGAAAAGUUAAGGCUAUAGGCUUACUUUUUUGCUAUUUUUGCUGCUUUAUGAAAAAUGCAAAAAGUCGCUAAAAAUGGACGAAAAGUAAAGGGUAUUAUAGACUUACUUUUUUGUUGUUUUUUUGGUCAUUGAUGAAAAAUGGAAAAAGUGGCUGAAAAUGGACGAAAAGUUAAGGGUAUAGGCUUACUUUUUUGCUAUUUUUACUGCUUUAUGAAAAAUGAGAAAAGUGGCUGAAAAUGGACGAAAAGUUAAGGGUAUAGGCUUACUUUUUUGCUAUUUUUACUGCUUUAUGAAAAAUGAGAAAAGUGGCUGAAAAUGGACGAAAAGUUAAGGCUAUAGGCUUACUUUUUUGCUAUUUUUUGCUGCUUUAUGAAAAAUGAGAAAAGUGGCUGAAAAUGGACGAAAAGUUAAGGCUAUAGGCUUACUUUUUUGCUAAUUUUUGCUGCUUUAUGAAAAAUGGAAAAAGUGGCUGAAAAUGGACGAAAAGUUAAGGCUAUAGGCUUACUUUUUUGCUAAUUUUUGCUGCUUUAUGAAAAAUGAGAAAAGUGGCUGAAAAUGGACGAAAAGUUAAGGCUAUAGACUUACUUUUUUGCUAUUUUUUGCUGCUUUAUGAAAAAUGCAAAAAGUCGCUAAAAAUGGACGAAAAGUAAAGGGUAUUAUAGCCUUACUUUUUUGUUGUUUUUUGGUCAUUGAUGAAAAAUGGAAAAAGUGGCUGAAAAUGGACGAAAAGUUAAGGGUAUAGGCUUACUUUUUUGCUGUUUUAUGAAAAAUGCGAAAAGUCGCUAAAAAUGGACGAAAAGUAAAGGGUAUUAUAGCCUUACUUUUUUGUUGUUUUUUGGUCAUUGAUGAAAAAUGAGAAAAGUGGCUGAAAAUGGACGAAAAGUUAAGGCUAUAGGCUUACUUUUUUGCUAAUUUUUGCUGCUUUAUGAAAAAUGAGAAAAGUGGCUGAAAAUGGACGAAAAGUAAAGGGUAUUAUAGCCUUACUUUUUUGUUUGUUUUUGGUCAUUGAUGAAAAAAGUGGCUGAAAAUGGACGAAAAGUUAAGGGUAUAGGCUUACUUUUUUGCUAUUUUUACUGCUUUAUGAAAAAUGAGAAAAGUGGCUGAAAAUGGACGAAAAGUUAAGGCUAUAGGCUUACUUUUUUGCUAUUUUUGCUGCU
rnacentral:lncRNA from 1 species